rnacentral:lncRNA from 1 species
AUUAUGUAAGUGAAGGUUAGAAGUUUGCUACUGUUGUUGUUGUGUGGAAAUGGUGGAUUUUUACAUGGUGGUUGGGUGGUACAAAGAAGAAAAGAGGGUUUGGGUGAGUUAGGGUUUAGGUUGAAAAGAGGGAGCUUGAAUGUGAUUUUUGCAGAGGUUUUGUGGCUUUCUAAGCUUGAAAAAUGAGUGGGGAUAGUGCUCU